GAACGGGUAUAAAAGCUGCACAUAAUGAAGCUGCUGUCACCACGCUUGUCCCUUUCUGUGUUUGAGGCUGGCUGGAGAAUCCAAUGAGCUGGUAGGUUUUUUUUUUGUUAAUAAUUUUUACAGUUCUUAGAAAACCGAUUUGGCCACUGGCGAUCCUUCUGUUGGUCUCCCAGCUUGUCAGGGAGGCCCAAACCAUGUGUGAGCCGGACCAGGUGGAGGAGCCUACAAGUAACUCCAGGCUGGCAUUAGAAGCCACUGCUGUUUUGUGUAGCUUAUUCAGUUCCUUUCUGGAGUUUAUUCAUAUUUGUAACAUUAGUUAGUUUGCUGAUGAUUACUUUUGGUAAUUUGUUUAUUUAUUUAUUUUUUAGGGGGUGUUUGAGGCUGUCUGCAGAGUAGCAUCCCAGAUGGUGGGUCUGGUGGCUGGGCCUUUCAUCUGCUCAUCCCAUUGUCCGUUGUUUGUCUGCAUUUUCUUUUAACAUAGCAUGCCUUGAUUUUAUAUUGUUUGUGUGGAGAAACUAAGUCGGUGAGCGCCCUGUGCCAGAGCCUGUCCCCGUUCUCACCCCGGUGCGGCCUAGUCACCAGUAGCCCUCAAUUUGUUUGUAGAGGCGCAUUUGGUUAUUCCUACAGCUGAUGGAAAUUAGUUUCAUUGUUUUGUAUGCUUACUAUAUUUUAACUAAAUGUUAAUCUGGGAUAAUCCUUUUGCCUCAGUCUGACCUCAGUCACCAGUUGAUCCUUGGUUGUUGGAUAAUUUAUGAGGAAAUGUUUAACCCUGUGCUACCGGUGGUUAAAAUGUCUGUCUUCCAGUUGCUCAACUUCUCAUGAUUUGAUCUACACACUAUGCAUCAGUUAAAACUAAUGCGUUCUAAUACAACAGCCCUACAACUUAUUUCUCACUCAUUCUCUUGUAUCAGGGAAGUCGACAGUCCAAAUAGAAAUCGGCCAAUGGUACCCCUAGAAGGGAUUUACUCACAUGUUGAACUUUACUAAUUGCUUGUGAUCUUUUCUCAGACUGCUAUGGCUGGUUCCACACACACAGAAUCAAGAUGAACAUUGGAAAAAACAAACUUCCAAAUGGCUUGCCAAAGUCACUAGAUAUCUUUACUGCAAGAUGAAGACAACCUUUAGGUUAAAGGGCAGCCUCUCACUUCAAUACAUGGACCAAGAUUUUGGCAAUUACUUUUUAAUCUACACUCUACCACUGAAUUUCAGGGACAAGUAGCAGGCCAAACGGGUUAGUUGAUAUGUAAAAUGUUUGACCUACCUCUGUGUAUUGCCCGUGAUAAAUUGUGUAACCCUGUUUUAUAAAUUGUUGCAGAUAAUGUAAUUUGUUUUUUAGUAUUGUCAUUUACUCAUUUCAGUUGGUUCAAUAUGCGUUGGGCAAGAAACCUGGUGGAGACCGUGGUGCCAUGAGCGCAAACAAAAGAGUCUUGUAGGACGCAAUUGCUGAUAAUGGGCGGUCGACCAACUGACAGAACCGUACAGGUCAAAGGAGGCUCAUAGAUCUUGGGGAGAAGAUGGGCGAGGCCUGGGCUCUUCAUUAAAGUAUUCUUUGAUGGUCCAGAGAAGGCAGCAGGCUCCUGCCUUGAGGAUCCCAAGAAGUGGUCAAGCAGUUUCAGCCUCCUGUGACGGUGGAAAUAACCAGCAGUCUUUAGUGAUUUGAGUGAACGGACGGUCCACAGAAGACAACAGGGUCUCAUGUGAAAAUUGCCUGCUGACUGAGAGGACAAUUCGUAGAACAAAACAAGCUCCUGCUUCAGGGGCAAGCAGCUUUAGCCUCCUGUGGAAAUCGCCAAGUUGGCAAUUUCCACAACAGG
ensembl:lncRNA